GUCCGAGUGGCGAAAUGGCAGACGCGCCAGACUUAGGAUCUGGUGCCCUUAACGGGCGUGCGGGUUCAACUCCCGCCUCGGACACCG
rnacentral:tRNA from 1 species